AGAGUUUGAUCAUGGCUCAGGAUGAACGCUGGCGGCGUGCUAACACAUGCAAGUCGAGCGAUCUUCUUCGGAAGAGAGCGGCGGACGGGUGAGUAACGCGUGGGUAACCUGUCUCAUACACACGGAUAACAUACCGAAAGGUAUGCUAAUACAAGAUGAUAUAAGAGAUUCGCAUGGAUUUCUUAUCAAAGCUCCGGCGGUAUGAGAUGGACCCGCGUCUGAUUAGCUAGUUGGUAAGGUAACGGCUUACCAAGGCGACGAUCAGUAGCCGACCUGAGAGGGUGAUCGGCCACAUUGGAACUGAGACACGGUCCAAACUCCUACGGGAGGCAGCAGUGGGGAAUAUUGCACAAUGGGCGAAAGCCUGAUGCAGCAACGCCGCGUGAGCGAUGAAGGCCUUCGGGUCGUAAAGCUCUGUCCUCAAGGAAGAUAAUGACGGUACUUGAGGAGGAAGCCCCGGCUAACUACGUGCCAGCAGCCGCGGUAAUACGUAGGGGGCUAGCGUUAUCCGGAUUUACUGGGCGUAAAGGGUGCGUAGGUGGUUUCUUAAGUCAGGAGUGAAAGGCUACGGCUCAACCGUAGUAAGCUCUUGAAACUGGGAAACUUGAGUGCAGGAGAGGAAAGUGGAAUUCCUAGUGUAGCGGUGAAAUGCGUAGAUAUUAGGAGGAACACCAGUAGCGAAGGCGGCUUUCUGGACUGUAACUGACACUGAGGCACGAAAGCGUGGGGAGCAAACAGGAUUAGAUACCCUGGUAGUCCACGCCGUAAACGAUGAGUACUAGGUGUCGGGGGUUACCCCCCUCGGUGCCGCAGCUAACGCAUUAAGUACUCCGCCUGGGGAGUACGCUCGCAAGAGUGAAACUCAAAGGAAUUGACGG
rnacentral:rRNA from 1 species